CAGCAUGAUUCACAGACUGGAGGGUGACAGUGACCAGAGCAAGUUUAACCUUUUAAAGAGGAAGGAUCUGUUGCUUGGCUACCAGGCAACAAGGAAGGCUACUCAGAGAGGGGUCCCCACAAGGGAUGAGGGACAAGUUGCCUAACCCUGUGGCAGACGGCUCUGCUUCUCUUCAUGGUCUUGAAUACGGACCAGGCCGUCCUCAUGGCUGUGGGAACAUGACACCAACCCAGAGGCCCUCUAGAGUGCUUUUUCUGGUGACAUCCUUGCCUAGCCCUUCCAUGUGUCUGAUCUACUCUAAAAAGCCUAAAACUAAGUGAGCUGGUCUACUCAGCCACCGCCUUUCAGAGGAGGAGUUCGUUUGUCUCCAGAGGAGGAGUUUUAUGAGGACGAUAUUAAGCGACGGGGUCUAUGUUGCCAGGCCGGUCUCCAACUCUUGGGCUCAAGCUCUCCUUCUGUCUUGGACUCCCAAAGUGCUGAGAUUACAGGCGUGAGCUACCAUCCCUGCCCUGCUUGCUCCCCCAAAAAAACUACUUCAACAAAAUGUUUACGUGUGCUUACUGAUGUUUCCUCCCCAACUACUGAAUUUAUCCUUUGCUGAGCAUUACUUGAAAUUGUCAAAAGCUGGAAGUAAUGCAAAAAGAUGACUGCUUGUCCUCUUGAUGUUCUACUGUGAUGUGUCUAACAGGCCCACCAAAAUUUAUUUCAUUCACUAUAAGAAACGAGUCUUUGCUUGCCUUCAUAUUGACUAUAUAUUAGAGCCUGGAUUCAUUAACACUUAUUAACAUUACAUGUUAAUUUGUAUAUUUUUGUCUAGUAAAGAUGAAAAUUUUUGCUCUUUGGUAGAAGAAUAAUUGCGAAGGCUACAGUUUUGUUGCACUGUAGGAUAUUAACUGAUUUUGCAUCUAAUUUAAUAAACUUAUUUAUGCAUUCUUUUCCCAACUAACUAUAUAAAUCUCUGUCCAUCAAAUGCUCUUAAGAACCGUCUUUAACAUACUGCUGGUUCCCUUGUUAAC
rnacentral:lncRNA from 1 species